CAAAGGUAGCGAAAUCAUUUGUCUACUAAUUAUAGACCAGUAUGAAGGGCCACAUGAGGGUUUAACUGUCUCCUGAGACAAAUUUAUAAAACUGAUCUCCCAGUUCAAAAGCUGGAAUUCUAACAUAAGACGAGAAGACCCUGUGAAGCUUAAAAAACCCCAUUAACACAGGUAAUGGGUACUUUUAGUUGGGGCAACUUUGGAAAACAGACCAACCUCCAAAGACUAACAAGUCAACAACGACCCAGUAUGACUGAGAAAUGAACCAAGUUACUCCAGGGAUAACAGCGCAAUCUUCUUCAAGAGCCCAUAUCUAAAAGAGGGUUUACGACCUCGAUGUUGGAUCAGGACACCCAAGCGGUGCAGUAGCUGCUAAAGGUUCGUUUGUUCAACGAUUAAAGU
rnacentral:rRNA from 1 species